AUGGCAAAAAAGAAAGCAUGCAUUCCCCUUCUAUGUCUUACAUCUAUAGUCUUUUUGCCCUGGUGCAUCUCUUUUACAUUUCAGAAAAGUCUGGAAUCUUGGAUUACUAAUUGGUGGAAUAUGAAAGAAUCCGAAAUUGUCUUGAAUACUAUUCAAGAAAAAAGUAUUUUAAAGAAAUUGCUAGAGUUCGAGGAACUGUUCCUCUUGGAUGAAAUGCUAAAGGAAUACCCGGAAACACGUUUACAAAACCUUCGUAUCGAAAUCUACAAAGAGACCAUCCAAUUGAUCGAGACGAACAACCUAGAUCGUAUCCAUACGAUUUUCCAUUUCUGUACAAAUAUAAUCUGUUUCCUUAUUCUAAGUGGUUAUUCUAUUCGAGGUAAUCAAGAACUCAUUAUUCUUAACUCUUGGGUUCAAGAAUUUCUAUAUAA